CUGCAGCGGAUUGAAGAGGAAGAAAAUGAAGAGUACGGGUAUGAAUCUGAAGCCCUGGGCUCUCCGAGCCAGGGUUCUGUCUUAAAGGUUGGACGUCUCAUCGACUCAUAUUUAGCCGAAAUUGCUCCUGAUCCUUACUUGAAUCUACAGAAAUUCAUGGCAAUGUUAGAGAUACUACCUGAUUAUGCCCGUGUCAUUGAUGACGGGCUGUACAGAGCUGUCGAUAUAUAUUUGAAGGUAUACCUUUUACACUUCCCAAUCAUCUCUAACCCAAAGACAUCCGCAUCUGGCUGAUUUGUGUGUGUUUAUAUUUUGUUUCAGGCGCAUCCUAUGCUAACCGAGCAUGAAUGCAAGAAGCUCUGCAAAUUUAUAGACUGCA
rnacentral:lncRNA from 1 species